CGUCCCUCGGCGCCUCGGCAACCGGGCAGCGGCCCCGGGAAACGGGCGGCGUCGGCGCGCCUCGUGUACAGGGGAAGCCGCAGAUAACGGGGCGCUCCGCGCUUUCCUCCAGCCCCGCCUUCUCAGCGGCGCGGUACUGAGGAGAAGCAGUCGCCCCCGAGGCAAACCCUGUUCGCCCCCAUUGCCGCGCGUCCUUUGUCCUCUCCGCGAGAACCACGUUCGGAAACACCGCGUUUGAGAAGCCUUCGUGUCAGAGAGGGUGUGAGUUAUCCCACAGCUACUACUACCGCUGUACGCAGACAACGCGUGAGGGAACAGCAGCGAAACGUGGAGCUUUCUGAGCGGGGCAGUGAGCGAAAACGAGUUUUCUCCUGAUGUUCUGUGAUGGCGCUGCAAACAAACAAACAGAACAAACCUCAAAUGCCAAGAAUUUAAAAAAAAAAAAAAAAUCACUCAACUUUUGGCCUUAUUUAAAACCAAGUUAGGAGAACCGAUCCUACCAGAGCUCUACCCUGGAGGUCUGCAGUUCUGCCUCUCCAGCCCCAGAGCCGCUUGUUGCAGUGGGUAUCAGCCGUACACACUGUCCAUCAGCGUGUCAGCGAGGCGAGCAGUCCGUGUUGCACAGGGGAAGAAGCCACCUGCAGGCCUACACCGUGAGCAACCAGCAGAGCACCAGCCUUCACUUGCACGUCUCUCAGCUUCCAUCUCAUCCUUAAGCAUGCACUGCUUCUCCUUUCCCGGCCUCGUGGUGGCGCGUUCCUUGCUUCUGUCCAUGCAACCCCGUGCUUUGCAGAAGCUGUGUGCCUGCACGUGGAAGCACCGCAGUGCUGCUGACCAUGGAAGAAUCUCAUUGAUUUCACUUUCAGCUGGGUUGUGCUGCCGCUAAGCAGUGCUCCUGGUGCAGCAGGACGGCACGCCUCCGUGCCCUCAGCCUGCUGCAGAGCCAAGGAGGAUGGGCACGAGAAUUCACCCCGCAACAAACCCAAGCAUUGCCUCCAUGAGGACGGACUGAAGUUCUCUAAAAGCUCUUCUACUCCAGCAGUAAGGUUACAAUGCUGGACUCAUAGCAUUACUUUGGACUGAUGAGAUACUAGCUGCAGGAUGUUAACCAAAGGAAUGGGUAGUUCAAUUAAAGCACAUCUGGACAUGAACCCGCUCCUUCUAGCGUCCUUCAGCACACAAAACCUCCAGGUUUUAUCAGUAUAUUUAAUCCAAAACAUAAGCAUGGGGUUUGACCUUUCAGAGCCUGAAUUUUGGGUCCUGAUGAAAAAAAAAAUCCUCUCCCCCUAUGUUGUUCUUGCUGAAAUCAGCAAAACAGCCCAAGAACAUAUUUCAUUAAUUUAAAGGAAAAGGACCGUCAGCAUUCUCCAGCAAUCCACCAAAGGCAGAACUUGCUUCCAUCGCUUGGAAGGAGGCCAGCUCCUCACUCUUCUAAGCUAUUUAGCAUAGCCCAAUUCCUCAUCCUUCUCCCUCUACAGCAGUUUAUUUUUUCCUCUCUCCUUUUCUGUUUUAUAAUGUAGAUUAGAUAAGCACGUGGUUGUAGCAACAACAGCUUCUGCCUUGGGGUGGGAGUAUGAACAAGACAACCUCUUGAGAUCCCACUAACCUCCUUUUCUAACAUCUCAAGAGCAAUGAGAACUGGAUGACAUCCGUGAUGUUUCACAGGCCUGGAGAUUACCAGGUGAAUAAGUAUGUAUUUGUGCUUCAAAAGAAAGAAGCGUCGUGGUGUUGGGGAUAUGUCUUGGUGCAGAGGAUUCUGUGCAUUUAAAGGUUGAAUUCAAAGAGAGACCCGGAUAAUAUGCUUCAAUUCCUUGAAUUUCAAGUAAUAAAAUAGCCUGGUAGGGUCUAAUUUGGCAGUUCUUCUGGAGGAAGUGAGGUGCCACCUAUUCUGAAACACAUUUAUCUGACACUGUUAUAUAAAGGCUGCUAUAAUUAAAGAGAGUGUGAAGACCUCAUUGUCACUUUCUCUCAGUUGAAAGCACCUACAAUGAGAGAGGUAACUGGACUACAUUUGUAGCUAUCCUCUAUAUUUAACCAGUUGUGAGAUUUCUCUUUGCUGCAUGCUCUAUGGAGAUUUGCAAAGAGCUGAGCUGUGGGAAACUCCAAGCCAUAGCUGCGGCCUUCCAGAGCAUGUUUGAUAAAGAAGAGUGGAUUAUCUCCACCUCCUGAGGCAGGUAUGAAUAUCCUCUCGGGUUUUCAUAACUCGAGACAGCCCUGCUCUAAUUAUGGCUUCCACUGGUGCACAGAUACGAGCGAGGCCAGUCUGAAAUGACUUGGGAAAUACUGCAAGACACAGCCGAUGGCAUUACCACUGUAUUAACGUGGGUGUCCCUCUCAAGAACUCAGGACUUGCAAUGAAGAACCUGUGCGGAUCCGCAGGCGCCAAGCAGGCACAGCCAUCUCCCUCCAGCAACACCCAGCUGUCAGCAGCAAGCAGCAUCCACUGGGCCGAAAUACUGAGUGCCUUCACAGCACCAACCUGAAAUGACAGUGUCUUUAUGGCUGGGGUUGUGCUGUGGUUCUCUGUUGGAAGGAAGACACAGGGAUUCUGUUUUCGGAGGAGAUGCACAUUUUUAUCUUCCAUGCCAAAAAGGACCCGGGCCAGAGGAUUAAGCAUUUGUUUUGUUUCUUAUUUUAAGCUCCUCUUCUCUUCUUAUGAAUGUUAAUCAAUCUCCUUAACUGCCAUAAGUGCUGAUGCUGAGCAUUGCUGAAUACCACUUUAGCUUGCAACUGAUGAAAUUAUGGGAAACUAUCAAUAAAAGCCAAUUAGUAACCUUAUGGGAAGCUGGUGCUGCUUUACCCAAGUACCUGAAUUUACCCCUGCGUUCUGGAAAGCCUCAUCAGCGCUGAAACACAGCCCUGCAUGCCAAAAGAGCAGCAGUUCCCACCUGGGGCUGAGGGAAGGAACAGCCCACUUCUGUGGGAGGCUGCAGGGCAAGAAGGUGUUCACAUCCCCCGAGAGACACGCAGCUCAGAAAGCUCCCGGUCACUGCACAUUUCCCAAAGGCAUUCCAAUAUUUGCAGUUCUGUCAGUACACGUUCACGUAAAUGUGACUGAAAUACAUUUCCCAUAGAUCACAAAUAUCCCGCAAUAACUCUUUAGAGAAAACAAAGCUCAGGCUGAGCAGUUGGAGCUGGACAAAGACGGCCCUGCCAGCUAAAAACGAACCACCGGUGUCUGUACAAACAUCAUUGCACUGGAGAAUUUAUUUUGUGAUUAGAAAAAUGGGUAAACCCACAGUUUCUAUUUUGCACUUAGGGUAGCUUAGACUAGGGCAAAGGGCGUACAAAAAGGAGUCAGCCAAAGAGCUUUUUAGUCCUAGAGCUAAGGAGCAUUUUUGUUGCUCUUGCUAGGAGGUUAAAGGGAAAAAUAAGUAAAUAAAACCAGGCAAAAUGAGAGAACCUUAUCUGUACUUUGCUGCUUCUCCUUGGGAUUUGACAGGGAUGGCUUGAUUAGCCUGUUGAUUUUACUGCAUCUUCUCAUGCUUUAUAAUCCCAUUACCAUAUACUGCAAGACAGCAUUCUGAAUUUCAUGGCAAGGGACUAUGGGAAGCUUCAGUUCGUUUCAGCAGAUUUCCAUGACACCCAUCCAAAUGGAGAAGCUGAUGCAGAAACAACAGAUCAAUGAACGGGCAGCCGCUCAUCCAACCCAACAUCUUUAAAUAUUUAGUCAGGACAGUUGAGAAGCAAGUGGAUAAAAGCAAAGAUUCAAGGAUUUUACUGCGUAUUUAAGUAAGAGGAGCUCUUGCCUGUACAGUCUCUGAGAGACCUUUGCUCAUCUGCCCGAUGAAACGAUCAAUUUGGGAUACUCUCACCAUCCUGAAGCAGAACAUAAACUCUGUAAGAAGUCCUGAAAAUGAUGACAGUUCAUCAUCAUCAUGGGACUCUCCCCAAACACAUAAACCGGUGCAAGAAUCCUAAAACAUAUUCCUAACGUGCUUCAUUUUGAGAGACAAAGAGCAGCCACGCAGCCCCUCUUUCUCCUAGCUCACCCUCCUGGGCAGGGUCGAUCUGCACAGAGAUCCUAGUUUGGUGUGACCAGAGCCCAGGGGUGCCCAGCACCAGCAGAGAAGGCAGACAGAACCCAGGAUAUGGAGUCAUCUGCAUGCAGGGUGACAAACACCUGCAGCUCUCCCUUAACCAGUGAUAGAACGAGAGGGAAUGGCCUCAAGUUGCUCCAGGGGAGGUUCAGGUUGGAUGUUAGGAACAAUUUCUUCUCCAAAGAGCGGUCAAGCACUGGCACAGGCUGCCCAGAAGUGAGGGGUCAUCAUCCUGGGGGGUGUACCAGGGCCGUGGGGAUGUGGCACUGAGGGACGUGGGCAGUGGGCAUGGCGGGGUGGCUGGGGUUGGGGAUCUGAGAGGCCUUUUCCAACCUUAAUGGUUCUGUGAUUCUAAUUCCUGUGACACCCCCAAGUGCUCUGCAAGGCAGCAGUGCUGUGCAAGUCCUUGUACAAACCUGAGGCUGCCGGGAGCACUAAAAAUACCUUCUGCCUCUUCCUUACAAAAGAGAACAAUCGUAAUUAUAGAAAUCCUUGCGGCAGAGCCCAUCUUCGUGUUACAGGUAUGAAAAGCCCUGUGUGUAAAGGGGGUUGGUGCAUGACGAGCUACUAAAAUAGAAUAGAAUCUGUUCCUCAGCUUCCAGGCGAAGAUGUUUGAAUGCAUCUGUAAACCUUUAGCAUCCCCAGUUUGCAGCAAUGCACCAGUGCACAUGGUGUUAAGAUGCCAGUCUGAAAGCCUGGGUGUCAUUCAGAAGCUUGAUCAGACCACGUAAUUUCUGAUGCUCUGAACAUUCAUACCCACACUAGUAUUUUUCCCAUGCCUCUUUCGUGUGGUUGUUAGAUACGCAUCAUCCCUAAUCUCUCAAAUCCUACAGGCAUGCAUAAAAAAAGAACAGGAUGAUUAGUUGAUUCCGGCCUUUGACAAGAUCCUUACAGAGACUACUUUAAAAAUAAGAAAGAAGAUUCCUAAAUAGAUUGCUGAAAAUUAUGUCCCAGAUGUAAAAUUGCCUAUGAGGCAGGAAACAAGAAAGCAAGAAUAAAUGGAGAAAGACCAAUAGUUAGGGCCUGGUAUUUGCUAUGGUCCAAAGAAGACCAUGACAAUAACACAGCUUUCACAUGAAACCAAGCCAUUUGGGAGUGGGCAGGGAAAAAGUCAGCUUGAAUAGCUAAGCUUGACCAAUUUACAAGCAGAAAACAGAAUAUUAUAACUGGAAGUGUUGAGAAUAACAAAUAAUGGCAGCUCUGCCAUCUCUACCCAUAAUCACUGCGAGCAAUAAAGAAGCAGAUCAGAACUGUGUGUUUUCAGAGUUUAAUUCAGUAUUUGGAUGAGGAAGCACGGAAGUAAAUGGUUAAAAAAAAUUCAAAUUGGUAAGAGAAAAUACUUAUCCAAACUGUAAAAGAAAUCCAGAAUAUUAGAAUACAUGACAGAGUAAAAAACUCACAGAGCUUAUCUUUAAAAAAUGGAGUUAGUCAUGUAUUUGAAUACUACAACCACCGCACCACUGUCAGGCAUGCUGCUGCAGAGAUGAAAAACUCAUUUGGCUCCAGUUCAGACUAAGUAAAAUUAGGACUGAACCCUCAUUAUUGCUAUAGAACGUUAGACUACAGUAACAUUUCAAAUGUCUUAGUAGUGAAUAUUGCUGCCACCUCUUGGUUCAGCAGAAAAGAAUAGCAGAUUUCUGCCUCGUGUUGUGCAGAUGGAGCACCUGAGCAGCUUUCACUCAUUGCCCUCCUGGCUCAUCCUUGGCCCUGGGAAACCUCUGCUUUUAGAGCAGCUUUCAGGCUCUAGCAGGUAUGAGGACAAGCAGAUGCUGCUUGUGCUGGCUUUGACUGCCAACUUGUAGGCCAAAGAAUUCCACCUGUGCACCACUGCCUUUACCGACACUUGCAAUUUUGUGCUAGAAAAAUAACUCCUAGCAAGGUAACAGGAGUUCCCAGGAGGGCAUUUGCUUUCAUCUUGAAGACAUGAAGAAAAGGACAGUCCUCAGCCUCCCCCUCCUCCAGGAGCAAGGGCUAACCACCUUUAGCAGCCAAAUGCUGCCCACAGCUGCCAUGAGGGAGCUCAGCUCAGAGACCCUCAUCCUCUGGUUUGUGGAAGAGCUCCUCACACUCAAAGCACCCCGAGCAAAGCUUACUGAAGGAAGCUGCUCCCUUCAUACAGCACACACAGCUCACGAGGAAGAAUGCCACUCAAGCUUUCUCUGUUUUUCUAAUUACUUGAACAAAGAGACAAGAUUCAGAGCAUUAAAAUGGACUUCCAUGGAGGAGUACUGCUUUAGGGAAGACUGAUUCUCUCCAGAAACAUAUCGCACACCUCGUGCUCCCCUUUGCGAGGUGUCUUUCCGCUCCCUUCUUCUAACCGCCCACCUGCUCAAUGCGUGCCUCAGGCUCCUCACCUUUCAACCACACCUUUGCAACUGAUGAGCAUUGUAACUCCUACCCACGUUUAUAAGCUGCCAAGAUCCCUUCAAUUAGUUCCCUGCCCUGACACGGAGUGGGACAGUGGCUGGCCAAAGAAGAGGAGGAUUUCGAGGUCAUUAAUGUGAUGCUCUUACUGAGACAUCGGGUGUGGGAUUUACUGCCCACACAUGUGGGUUUUACAGACCACCAGCCCAGCCUGGGACGGGAUGGAAGCAGGACACUGAGGAUGUAAUGGUGGCAGGGGAAGUGUAGGGGAAGGGUGUAGUGAUCAUCCCCCACCAGGACACACAAAGCAAAGAUCACUGAGUAAUUGCAGAGUGACUGAAACGUUUUAGGUGAAGACACGGCAUAGCGCACGGCUGAAGCACCGCAUGUUUGCAAGCACAAAGGCAACAAAGGUAUCAGGAGAGGGAGCUCAGUCAAAACGUCCCUGCUCCUCCAGCUGGCACACGUGAUGCUCCUAGUGUCUCCUCACCUGUCCUCCAGCACAGUGAAUCCUCAUGAGCUCUCCUCCAGGUACCCAGCUGCUUCCCAGGCCGCCUUGCUGUGCUCCCACUGCAGGCAGACUGCAUCCUGCCCCAUCCUGCUUCCUUGUCUGGGAGUGCAUCACUCACGCCUCUUCUCACUGCUGUGACUUCUUGAAUGUAAUGAGAUGCAACUGCUUUGCAGGAAGCAGCAUAAUUAAGUAUCUAAGUAAAAUUCCCUGCAGGGAUAUGUGGCAACAGCAAUAUAGCCAGGCAGUACCAACUCCAGAAUUGGAAGCGGUCUUUCAAGCAGGUGAGAACGUGCAGCAUCUUGUAGUGAGGCACUUCAUGCAAGCUCAGUAUAGCAACUUACAGACUUAGUCAUGGAAAAAAUAAAAGACUUUCAUGAACCAUCCUUAAUGUUUGUCAUAGUAGCAGGAAGCAAGCAUUAAAGAUCUUUAUCUUUAAUAACUCUCAACAAAGAUCAACUAGCUGCUUUUGUCAGUGGACUCAUUCCUUCCCACACACGUACGCACCCGCGCUCCCCACUGAAUCCAAAAGCCUGGAAUUCUUCACGCAGUGAAGUCAGGGUUAUUCACUUCUAUUCACCUUUGGAAGAACCCACCUGAACCUCAGGGUGGGAAGGUGGGUGGCAAGGGCACAGGUGACAAAGGAACAGCAGCGAGCUGAGCGAUGCCCUGAACUUGUGACUAUCUGACUCAGUAGGUGAAGUGUGAUGGGUCUGACACAUUCAUGAAAACAUUUUCUUCAAAUACCAAAUGUCUUUAGUUCUAUGCAGAUCCUAAAACAGACACGUGAGUGCCUUUAUCUUAAAUGAGCAAUGGUGCAGGGGUAAAGAAAAUAUUACUUCUACCUACACUGGUUUUUGCUCUUCCUUUGAGCAUUAACAGACAUCAGCUCCCAGGAAGUUCUGUCCUGCUCACAUCCAUAAUGCAGACUAACGCAUCCAUUUUCAGAAACUGAGAAGAACCAUUUCCAGAUAAAAGCUUUUACUGUAGCAAGAGUCAUAGGCACGGCUUGCCAACCACAAACAAAUAGCAGACAGCCUAAGGGUGUCCUCAGGUGCCAGUAUUACCCUCACAGGUACUGUGCCGUACAGGCAACGCACUUGUAAGCCCCUUGAACACAUUUAAGACACAGAAUGAGCAAUGAUAGGCAUCGGUGGCACCAGGGAGAGCUCAUGUGUGCUGUGCCAUCUUGUUUCCAAUGAACUAAUGCAGCCUUUGGUCUCUGUGGAGUUUGGUGGGAAGCUGUGGUUGCUGCCAGAACGCUCAGCUGCUGGCUUGCUUCUGGCAUUGCAGAGCCAUGAAAUCACCUGGAAUGGCCUUAUGGAGCAAGGAAGUGGCACCAUCGGCUACAUGCACCAUGGGAAAAUAGCUUUAUGCUUCACCUGUAUCAUUCGUUAAGCAAACCUGGGGCAAAUCCAAGUACUCCAAAAGCCUCUUUGCAAGAGGAGCGCCGUGUGGCUUCAGCUUGGUUCUACAGCACCAACAAAGCAACUUCCACACCUGUGUUCCAGGCAGAGCGAACACACACCGAGCUUCAAUUUCAGGUAUCAAGUGCUGGAGACAUGGUGCAAAAGCAAAUUUUUAAAGGCUUCAUGGAUUGUACUCUCAUAACUACAUUUCAACCUCAUAGAACAACUUCUGGGCAUCCAGUGCCACAAACAGCGCUGCACACAGAGCCUCCCUCUGUACUGCUGCAAAUGCACUGCCAAGCGAAGUAAUUGGAGGACGUGAAAGACAGAAAACACUCCUGUUCCACUUCACUAAUCACAAACAGAGAGAGACACAGAAAUCCACAAGCAUGCACCCGUUCAGUUCAUCUUUUUUAGUCAUCAGUGCAGUCACAUCCUUCCCAUUCUCCUACAGCUCGAAUAAUUAAUUUCUUCCCCAUCUGCUUCAAAGCACUGGCUGCUUCUGCUGCACUCAGCCUGGAUCCUUCAACUCCCGGUGCUCCCACAGCCUCCGAGCUGACACUGCAGGGGAUCCUCCAGUGCCACCCAUCACACAGCCCAAGUUUCCUGGCCCCAGGGAUGCUGCAGGAGCCACAGGAGGCAGUGCAGACAGCAGAACAGCUCUGCCUUCAGCAUGCCCCCUAAACAGGCCGCCCGCUGACCUGGGAAUUCUGCAGCACCAGCCCCUGCCCUCCCUCACCAACUGCUGUUAGUCAGCAAUAGAAAUACACAGCACGCCGCACGCAGAGCAGAAGGUUGGACGCACAGUGUUGGGACACGACAGCAGCUAAAAAGGGACGUGCCUCCAUUUUAAGGAUUCCUCUGCCAAAAUGUAUAGCGUGCAUCGGUUAAUAAGGGACAAAACCCCAUCUUCCUUCUGCUACGCGGCCUUAUGCUGCUAUUUUGGAUGUGGGUUACCAUGGUAAUCGGCAGAACCCAGAAUGAAUUUGUGUCGUCAUAAUUGCUGCAGUUUUGGGCACACAGCUCCAUACUACCUUACUAUUUCUUGCAGGUAUACGCCGUGACUGGAGCUUCCACGAACCUCAGGAUUUAAUGAACGAGCCACCACCAAAUACAACAAGUUAAAGCAAUUAUUUAGAACAACAGCACCUUAAUUCCACAGGCACGUAGGAGUGAUUACUGGUGUUUUCCCAACUCAAAACUAUCCCAUCUGUACAGCAUCUCCCCAGUUCCUACGUGCUCCCUAUGCCCAGGAACAGGACACACAGAGAUGACAUCCCCACAGCUGCACCAAGGGGUGCUGCAGUGCUGCCCUGACACGGCCGGAAGGCACAGGGCAACGGGGAUCACAGAUGGCCAGGCACAUAAGCUUAUAUUGAAGGGACUGGGUGCCUACAGAAACGCACUGCUGAACUGCAGCAAUGUUAUUCUGAGCCUUCAAGGCCAUGAUGUGACCCAACACCAUAGGGGCACUGAAUUUUGUACUUAAUUAGAAAUCUAUAAGGUCAUCAUGCAGAAGACCUCAGGAGACCUUCUCUGCUAGCUUCCAUGUGUGCUGCAGCAUGCUUGGAUUAAAAACAAUAAUAACAACAAAAAUUAGGACAUAACAUAAAAACCAAAACAACCAACUCCACAAUCCUGAUCUGGAGCGCACAGCUAAACAUCGGAGUGCAGCACGCCGUGAACAACCUCCUUUUCCCAGUUAAAGACCUCUUGGUGCAGCACACGGCCAGCUGGGCCCACUGCCUGCUGUGGAAGUUGCACUUCCAGCUCUGCAUUUUUGUUUUGUUUGCUUGCUUGUUUCAUUUCUCACUAUUUUGUAUUGCCAAAACAGCAGAAACAGGCUCAUUUCCAUCAGCAAAUCUGGUUUCCUUUACCAGUUUUCUCUCUCUCUUUUUUUUUUUUUUAAAUAAUUUAAUCUAGCCAAGAGUUUAUAGUUUUAAAAAUCUGGUUUUAAUUUACAUAACCCCAGAUCUCAGUAAUGACACUGUACCUCGCAGAUCCCCACCGCUCUGCCCAGCAGACAGCUGUGUAUCCGGGCACAUCAGCAGAACACAGUGCCAGGAGCAAAACAACUUCUGCAUUUGCACUCUUUCCUUUUAUGAGCUCCAUAUCCAGAGGUUUAAUGGUAAAUUACACGUGCAUUUGUGGUCUGAUUGCAUGUACUUUCCUUCUUCUGAAAGCAUGAGGUGCAAUUCCACUCCUCUGCACUCAGGACAAAUAUUUUCCACCCCCAGGGACGGUGCACCCCCCACUCCCUGGGCAGCUGUGCCAGUGCCCGGCCGCUCUGUGGAGAAGGAACGCUUCCUAAUUCCAGUCCUCCCCUGGCACGAUGUGAGGCCACUUUCCCCUCCUCCUUUUCAGCUGAUCUCAAAGUGCUUUGAAUAGGAUGGGGAACGCUGAAUUGAAGAAGUUAGCAAGCGCUUUGUAAUUUUUGAAUUUUCACUUUGUCAGGUGCAUUCCACAAACAUGAAUUCCAAGCAAGAGCAAGGACUUGAACUCUUUUUAAGACCAAUUAAACCGGGCUGGCGAUGCUCGGCCCUGAGCCAGGACCCUUCUUGCAGGCCUUACCCAGGCCCUCAAUUUACAGGCCCCGUGCAAACCCUGCGCCCGCGGAGCGCGGUGCUGCGGCGGGGCUCGGGGGAACAGCGCCACCGUGCGGCUCCUGCCCGCACUGCAGCGCUUCCAGCGCCCAGCUCCAACCCGCUGGAAAAGCAGUUCCGCGUGACCUUGUGUGAGAUUACGAAGUGAGAAUAAUGUGUAAUUAGUGACAAAACACCUUUCGGUAAAUCUUGAGGAGCUUUUUAGCGGUGCAGGAAAGCCUGGCCCAUCACCUUUUAAGUGGUGACCAGUACAGUGACCCCGAGCCGCUCCAUUCACGCAUCCCUAUCAAAAACCACGCUCACCAGAAGGGUCUGCCUAGAACACUGAGGAAGAAAUCUGUGAAAAAAAAGUUUUAAAGUGUAGGAAGGAUAAUAAUUUGUGGCCUUCUAUAGAAAUUAAUAGUCAGCUCAGCAGCCUACAAGCCUCCUCCAAAACACUACACCUAUUUUUCCAGGAUCGGAUACUUAAUUCCCAUGGAAUUAAAUGACAUUUAUCUUUCAGUGUACCUGGACUGCACGCCUGGCAGGUCUGCACAGAGGUGUUUGGAAACCCUGUGGGUAUAUGAAGGUCUAUGAAAGAGAUUCCAGAAGGCUUAAUUGAUAGCCCCGAGCUUCCAUGAGAUUGCUUAAUGUGAGCGUCAGGCCUAGGGGAGACAGCUUCCAAGGGCACAAACAAAGCAGCGUGUGCCUCAACACACUCCAGAAUAAAGCAGCACUGAGGGAGAGAUGGGGGAGCAGAAGGCUGACAGAGCAGUGGCAGCACACUGCUGUGCCUAACGAGGGAAACGCAGCCCUUGGGGCCUGAGCAGAACCAAAAUAAACCCAGACAACAACAGAAGAGCACGGAGUGGCCAUCGGGGAGAUGCGGCAUGACCUUGCCGCGGGCGCUGCUGAGCUCACCGCUGGAUCCGCCAUCUUCUAUUACCCAUCUUCUGUUACUUCUAUUAUCUGGGGACAGAUGCCAAGAACUGGAAAGAAUACAGAAAUGAAGUCCAGCAAUCAUCUGAGUUCCGAUGACACGUCCUGACAAGAGGGAGAUAAAGCAGCCUGCAUCGUGUAUCAGGAAACGGCUCUGCGCUGUAACGCUGCUGCCCCUUGGCAGCAAACUACCCCAAAAGAGCACUGCUCUCACUGCCCACCAAAGUGGUGCGUUAUCCAUCCGCGUGGAGCCCUUAAAGACCAAGCCACAAGAUCCAGCGCUAUUUUUAGCAUACCAAUUAGCAACACAAGGCCUCAUCAGCCUGGUGCUACCUAGCAGGGCAGGCUGUACAAAAACUCCAUCUUCUCACUGCAACACUGAGGAAAUGCGAACGGUCAGCUGCUGUCGUACAUCGUUCCCCAUGGGCCAUUCGUAUUUCAUUUUCCUGUUGUAAUCCAAAUUGUUUUUGGUGCCGUUCCCACAAGUGGUUUUUCUUCAUUUAGCAAAAUGGAGACGCGCAGGGGCAGCAAACUUCAAUUUUACUGACAACGGCAGACGGGGGAAAUACUCUGUUAUUAGCUGAUGUGGUCCUGCUUGCUUUGUGCAUGGAAGAACACCGCUGAUUUCAGCAGGGGCAGGACAGAGGCAGAGGAGAUUCAGACCCAAAUAUGCAGUCACCAUUCGCUUGAAGUCAAAGGAAAAGAAAUAAUUGUGCUCCAAAAAUAACACGGAACAGAAAAGAAAACCCAAACCCUCGAGAAGCCAUACAUGAGAUCCACUGUCUAUAUGUAAGUUCUAGGGACACGGGGAGAGGACGACACACAGAUGAAGCUGCAGCUUCAUAGGCACACAGUUAUCACGUGCAGCCUUACUACAGCAGCCUGAGAGCGCUCCAGAGAUCUCCAGAGCAAGACGUGAGCUCUCGCGUGGGAGUGCUCCGGCAGAGGAGGUAAAUGCAGGAGCCCCUUCUCAAAACAGGGUCUUGGGAGAACAGGUCUGCUGUGAGGAAAGCCAGGGAACAUCCGGAGCUGCGUGUUCAGCCCAAGUGUACAGAUGAGCUAAAAAUAAAGGUGGGGCCAAAGGGAGACAAGUUUGAGUCAAUGUAUGUACUGUAGGAAUUUAGGGCAUGAUUCAUUAGCCAAAAAAAUCCCAACACCCUCUGCAGCUAUUUUCAAGGAGGUACAUGCAUAAUUGAUGCGGAACAAGAGUGGGCUGCAAUUUCCCCCACGCUGCUUCUGCAUAAAUUACACUGGCUUGUAAUUCAUCACACUUCUGUUUCUCCCGCAUGUAAGCGGUAACCUCUCAUUUAACGAUCAUGGAAAACAGGAUCAUCUGCAAAACAGGAGCAAAGUAUUUACAGGUGAAGCAGCCGCGGGUCCGACACACGCUUGUGGUCCAAGACCUGAGAAAAUAUUGCCUCAGAAAGGCAAUAUUUUCCAGUAGGAGGAUCAUUAUGUGGUGACCUUUCCCUCUUACUACGUUUUUGAUAACCACAGCUGACGACAGAAGCUAGAAGUGCUUCUGAACCAGCAGCACUGAGCUCAGGGAGGACCCAAAGCAGGAGAUUACGCAGAAGUUUAAGUGCCAGGUGAUUUGUCAUGGAGGGAUGUAAGAGGCUCAGUUACUUGUUCAUGCUCUAAAGUGGAAAAAUCCUUAAGGACAUGAAAUGAAUAAAUAAGACCCCUCGGCUUCUGAGCAGGAUAUCUGGUCACGUGGCUUCUGACCACGUGAAUCCGACGGGCAGAAGAAACACGCCGAUGUGAACAGGUCCUGCUCCAGCAGCUGGGGCUCCAGGAGGAGAAGGGAAGAACAGGAGCUGCAGGCAGCGCUGCACUUGUUCAGCAAGAAGCCGUGCCGUGGAUAGACACUGAAAAGCAACGCGAAGCUUGCACAGAGAUAUCUAUCCACCAGGGACACCAGUAACACAUUUGUACCUCCGUGCCUGACAAAGGAGGACAAGGCGUUAGGAACAGACCAGGACAGGAGCAGGUAAGGAUGGAGGGGAUGGAUGCCAACAUAAUGGAUAUUUCAGCAUCAAUCACGAGAAGCGAGUUCAUUAUAAAGACGCUAAGAAGGAAGGCUCGGGCGUUCAGUCAAACAGAUGGGUGUGCUCUGCUCAGCAAUGCUUACAUCAUUUAUUUUUUUAAAUGCAUUGUUGGGCUCUGACAAUCGCGUUUGACAGCAAAUGCCAUCUACCUCCUGACUACUGGAUAAGGCGAAGAAUAAAGCACCCUUUUCCAGUGAGUGUCCCCUCCUGUAUCAGAGCUUGAGAUCGGUUUUUAGGGGCUCAACAGUAAGAGUAAUAUCUCACGUUCUUGCUGGAAAAAAAAAAAGGGGCAAGCUCAGCAAUCAAGGAACAGGUGCCUCUGUCCUUCACCCCCCUCUUCACCUUCAUUUCACGUUGUGCACAUCACCAUCUGCUGAAGAGGAAUCGCAUCCUUGGCUUCAUGGUGACCUUCGUUCAAGAGUCUGUAUGGAAUGACUCACGCAAACCCUCAAUGCUGCAGAGCAGCAGCACGUGUCUGGGGACGUCGCUCCCUAAGAAAAUUACUCAGGGUAGUUUUACCUUGAACUACUGACACAAGACAAGGCAAAAAGCCUAAAGCAAAAUGCAAUGAGCAGAAAUCCAUGUUCUUCUCAGAUGAAGGUGGUCAAAGCAACAGCUUCAGAAGCAUGACCAAGAUGGCACAUGGCCCAAAAGGAAUGAGUGUGGCAUUUUGGUCAUCCCACGCGUACGUCACAGGAAUCUGGAUCAGCAUCUGACAAGGUAGGCAUGCAGCAAAGGAUUAUUUCCAGCAAGGCUUUCAGGAUGAGCAAACGUUGCUUUGCUUUCUGGAGGUCUGAUCACUGAGCAACCUCAUCAUUACCACGGAGAAAACAGGACUGUGUGAGCUGAAGUCAAGAUGUUGGGGAAAAUCUCACUGCUUUGCAGGAGUCUCACAAACUACAUCCCAGAUCUGGAGAAAUACCUUGAAGAAACAUAGAGAUGUUUAAGAUCUCCAUAGAGGGCCCCUAAGAAGGCCAUCACGUGGUUGUGGGGCAACACGUUGCUCUGGCUUUGCUGCUGCCUCCUUUUUGCCAGGAUUUCUACCAAUUCUGUCCCUAACCCUGCAGAGAGAAGGAAAUGGAAAGGAGACAAAUCCAGAGGAACCGCUGCAGUACCAGCGAGCAUGGCCAAGGCACAUCCUACUGCCAACAGUCCCCCGAAGGAAAGAGGGGAAGCAGAUUUUUCUAUCAGUGAAGAUGAAUAAAGUUGUAGAAGGCAAAAUUUGUGUAAAAGUUACCCAUUCUGGCAAGUCCACCCAGCCCAUGUUCUUCCUCCAGCCCCUGCUCUCCCACCUCCUCUCUGCCUUCUAACCCCAUCUCACUCCUUGCAUUUCCAGCACAGCGUUCACCUCUCAUGGAAGUAGGUUAGAUUUGGAAGCCCUCGAUGCCCUCCCUGCCCCCCCAGCCUGCAGGAAGCUGUGGGGAUGGGCCUCAUUGCCUCCAGCAUCUCGCUGCCACAUCUUUCCUCUGGCUCACCCAGAGGACCAAAACCAAAAUGAGAAUAUAAUAUUUAAGCCAUAACUACCAAGAGGUACUCUGAAGAUUAACGACCGGCUGGAAGCUUAAUGCAUCUUGGGCCAUUAACCCUAACUGGUCAUUAAGCCCUAUGAAAUGUCUUGUGCUGAGGUCAUUUUUAUCAUUUUAAGAUGAAUAAAAGAGGGGGAAAAAAAACCCACACAACAUCCACUUAUGGAACUUCUCCUAAUGGGAAUCUCAGCCUGAAUUGCUAGGAACAGAUCACCCAAGGAACAAACACCUCUCCAGGCACAAGGAUCUUAUCAUAAGAACUGGGCUUGGACUGUGUGCCCUUUCAGUUCCCCACCUCUUUCCUAUUUAAGAGGAAACCAGCCCUUUUGUGGCUCAGUGCUGUGCCCUUGGCUGUUCACAGGGACAAGACGGGAGGUGGUGGUGGCCCUUCCAUUGCUUGCCAGGCCAUGCCACCCUACUGAGACAACUGCUCUUCAGGAGCUAUGAAACUUCCAGCCAUGAUGUUCCAGGUACGUAGGGUCUUUGUUAUAAAAGGUUCCAAAAGUACUUCACAAGAACUGGUGUAGAACACAUAUGGACAAUGUGUAUUGUCAUCGUGGGGGUCUGAUACGGGACAAAAUACCACUGAACCCGUAAGGUAAGAAGAGUUCACAAGACCAAUGCAUUCCCACCCAAAGGAUGGUGUGAGAGCACCUGCUGGUGGAGGGUGAAGGGAACAAGGCCAACGGAGCACACAAAGCACAGAAGUACUGUACAGAAGUAGAGCCAUUAGGGUGUAAGCUUAAGGCCACACAGGAGCCCCCAAAGAUGUGUGAAAUGCUUACAACACUCAAGAGCUAAAGUACAAGCAAAAUGAGCAAAACUAGUGGGAAGUCACUGGUUAGGAGCUACCAGAUUAUUCCAAUAAAGGAAUAUCUUGCUUUUCAAAGAAACAAGGUGUUUUCAAAAAUUCUGACUUAUUAGUAUUGUAUAACAUUAUUUGAAUCGGGACUUAAAAUUUUGCAAGGGAUAUAAAAAUAUAUCAAGUGUAUUAGCCUAAAGAAAUAGGGAGACAUGGGAGAGUGUCUGCUGUCAGUAAGCAUAAACAGAACAGCGAUACAUUACAGAAGUGCUGAUAUCAUCAAUCCAAAGACUUGCAAUCAUAAAAAUACAGUUAACAGAGAGUACAGGUGAAACAAGUGAAGAUUACAGCUGGAAUAUUGCUUAUUCCCGUGCAUGAGAAUGUGCUGCAAGCUGGAGACGCAAAGUUGCCAGAAUUCAGUACUCAGAAGUGAGUCUGACUGACAUUUAAAUCUCUUACACAGGGUAAAAAAAAAAUGAUUUUCCCAGAAGCAGCGUUGCCCAUUAUAAAAAGCAUCCAGGAAAGCCUCUAGAGAAGGUGAGUUAUUGAGAGGGCGUGCGGUUGGAAUGGAAUGGAUCUAUGAAGGUGUAUUUUUACCCUGGUACCCCAAAGUGUUUCCCAAGUUGCAGCCCAGAUGUGAUGCAGGCACACGGUGCAACGUUCCAGAGAGCAGAACCCACUCCUAUGGCUGCCAAGAGGCACGCUGUUAUUCCCAGUCACCCUCUGGACAUCUUUCCUCAAACGUCGAGCUCCCUUGCAUCCACCAGCCCAAAGCCAUCAGGAAGCGAUGUGCCAGCAGGCAAAUGUGAUGACACCACUCUCCAAGGAGAUGGUGUGAGCACCUGAAGAAGCUCCUGCCCAAACCCACGCGUCACGAAUUGUGCCAGAGAUCUUCUUCCCCGUUUCUGGAGAGCAGAAAUCUGAAGAUUCCAUACGUCAGGCUCUCCCCGAAGCCAAGAGAAAAGAGCUAAGGAGCUAUUUAUCCAACUCUGCAGGUCACCCAGGGCCUAAUAAUUUUAGGGAAAAGCUAUUUCUGUCUCUACCACAUGCUUUGCAGAGCAACGGAACAUAUUUUACCAAAUGCAGGUUCGGAGUCCCAUGUAAUCAUCUCUGCUUCCUCCACAUUCAGCACAGACAAUCACACCGAGAUUGCACUGCACGCAAGGCAUCGGUGUCCAUAGAAACCGCAUGGCAGCAAACGCAGCCGGAGCCUCGGCGCGGCGGUAGCUCCCCGGACGCGUUCAAAUGGCUCCAGCUCUCCUCGUUACGCUGCAGUCACACGGCCGGGGUCCCGCACGUGCUGUCCCUGCACAGCAGAUGGGUCGGCAGCAAAACGCAGCAGCCAGGCCGCGGUGGGGUUAGGGAGAGCCGGGGUGGGCACGGUGCCGCCGGCAGGGUCUUGGCAUCACUUGGUUUGAGCGCUGACCUGUUGAACACGGCGCGUUUGGUGCUAGGGGAGCACCCCGAGCGCUGCUGGGACAGGGGGAGGACUGCACCGCACCAUAAAGAGAAUUCACGUUAUGGGUCACGCUAGGAAAAGGCAUCUCAACAAACACCCACGCCACACAGAGAGACGGGUAACUCCAAGAUACAGGAAAUUUUGGAUGAGAAACAGCCAAAUCCUAUUUUUUAUUCAUACCUACGCUGCCUCUGCUAUUAAUAUCGGGCUCCUCUUGCGUGACUCGAGGCUAUUUUAAAAACGAAACCUUGUUACCAUGGAGACAAUAAGCCGGUCAGCACAUCUGCUGCGGAACGGGAUAUCACAUUCUUUAAGUGAGAAUUUUAAAGGCUCAGGCUGCCACGAAUCCGCACCCGGCGGCUGAUCCGGGGCUCAGAACACCAGCAGACAGUGAGGAUAAUUCGGGGAUCCUUAUUUAUUAUUUCUUUAAAUGCCACGCAAUCAGGAUCCUCAUUUGCUUGCAAACAACGGCAACAAAAAAAACCUUUUCCCUUUUCCAGCGGAACGCGACGCGGGAACAUAAUUUGAGAUUCAAUUAGCGCAUGAAGAAACAUUCAAUUAAGCUUCCCGGUGACACGGAGCCGACGCUGCUACGCUCACGUUCCAGAAGCAGCAGUGAGCCUCGCAGGCACAGCGAAGGAGAGGAGCCACGCUGCCUGUUCUUCUCUUCCCACCGCAGCAAGAAAACCCAUUCAUGUUCCCUUCUACUGCUGCUUACGAUGCUCAUCCCCCCACCCACCUCCUCAUCCUCAUGCAGGGCACAGCCCACCCAAGGCUUUGGUUGAGAUUUUGGGGUGCCAGGGAUCGAUGCAGCAGUCAUAAAGGACAGCGCAAGGCAGAUGUGGGUGCCUACAGGAAUGGAGGACGCGCUCCAUCAGCCUCUCAAAGCACCCAAGGCAAGUCCAGGAAAGCUUUCAUCUGCACAUCCCACGACCGAGAGGUAAGCCGUGCUGGCAGCACCUGGUGGGACACAAGGCAGGACACGGCUGUCACCUGGAAGUCACCAGCACCAGCCAGCGUGGGGUCGGGAGCUGCCCAGAUACAACGCAGAAACCCAGCCCUCCAGCCCAGAGACACCAGCAGCGCUAACAGAGCCUGAUUUCGUCUGACAGCCUUCAUCAUGUCAGCAUUUCUCGUAACAGCAGCCUUUGCUGUUUGUCUCACCAAGGUCACCGCAGAUGUCCCCUCCCACAGUCCAGCCUGCCCACCCGCUGGCUGGUCUCUCCCAGCCGACAGGAGAAGCCUGCAGGAAAGCUCCAGCCCACAGCACGGCUCUGCUGGCUCCGAUCGUGCCAGGGAUGCCCAUGGGCUCCUGAGGGUGGGAACAUCCUCAACAGUGCCCUCCAACCACAGGCCAUCUCCACAAGAAGUGUGUAGAUGCAGCAGUGAGGGACGUGGUUUGGCGGGCAUGGUGGCCAUGGGUUGAUGGUUGGACUUUAUGGUCCUCGAGGUCUUUUCCAACCUUAGUGAUUCUAUGAUUCCAAGUUAUCCCUUCCAUUGGAAAUGGAGCACAGCCUGCGAUGACGUCAGUGGAGAAUGCUCACCAACAUCUCCAAAGUUCACAGCGCUUUCCUACACUUACUCCAUGGUGCUCCACGCAAGAGAAGGCCCCAAUCCAGCCUCCAAGUCAAAUGGAUAUUGGCAUGCUAGAACAAGGCGCUCCGCAGAAAUUUAUUUCAGUUCAAGAGUGACUUAUGAUGGUUUUCCCUCUCUGCAAGCCUACAGGUUUAGGGUAAGCCAAAGCCAAAGCAUGGCUUAACCCAAAAGAUGCAACUGUUGUACGAGUUAACUACGCUGAUUUAAGAACAAAGGUGAGUUACAGCAACGCCGCGCUGCCAUCAAGGCUGGCAUUCUUUGGGGAAAGGGCUGAAUCUUUUAUUCACCUGUCAAACGCCCUAACGGCUGCUAAAUGCCGUGCAGAGAAAAUAACGAUCCAGCCCUCUGUCUAAGGAAUAAUCAUAUUCUGCAGCAAGUUAUAUUUUAGAAAUUAAUGACUCAUCACAGAAUUGAGCUCAUCCUGUAAGUGACUGACAUUCUAACCCGCUCCUUUGCAGAUAUACCUUUUAUCACCCUCAUCAGCGCUUGCUUUGGAGGAACGCGUGGUUCGUUGCACAUCUGGCUGGCUUGGACAACAGCGCUCGGUGCCACCCGCUUCUGCUCUCAGAAAGCCUGCGCUACAGACGAGCAACAACUCGAGCUCACCAACCAAAGGCUCAUCUCGUCCUGAGGAAGACGUUUGUAAGGUGAGAGUUGCAGAACUGAAGGAAAAAAUCAGACGUGUACAUAAAAAAAAGUUAAAGGUCACGACACCUCCCUACGCACGUCACUCAUCAGCGAGCACCAAAAUGUGAUUCCUCUUUCCUGGGAACGGGAAUGAGAUUUUUCUGGGCAAGAGCACCCAGUGCAACUGCCCUCCCACCUGGCUGGCAGAUAGCAUCCACUACAGAGCUCAAACUUGCUCUUCAGGCCACACAUCGCCCUUGCACACAGCUGAGAUGGUGUUUCCUUUUCCUCUCAGUCCUGCAGGUGAAGCAGCAAGCACAGCCGCUGCCAGAGGUGCAGCACCAGGUGUAACUCGCUCUGAAAAGAAAACUGACUGCAACUCCAACUGUCUUUAUCAGCAAAAAGCCUUCCAGGAACAAACUGUAUUUCUGAAUGCCAUUUUGGGUGAAGUUAAAUGUGCUGGAAGUGGACAAGGACACUCCACUUGAAGACUCUGGCAAAAGCUGAGAAGAAUUUCUAAGUGCUACGAGACAUUCAAGAAGACUUCAGUACCAGGCCCUGUAUUCAGGUGCACAUGACCCCGUGUUUCACUUCAAGCAUGUAAAUCACCAAAACAUUUGCAAAUAGAGGCAAUUGGACACACAAGCAGGCAGCAAGAGCCCUGCAGAACCUGAUCAGACCGCAAGGUUUGCAGCCAGACUUCAGCAUUGGUUGCAUCUCUGAGAGCCGAGCUAUUCAAAGCAGACACC